UGUGGGAGCGGGCUUGCUCGCGAUGCGCGCAGCGCAGUCUGUCAGGCAAACCUGGGCGACCCCAUCGCGAGCAAGCCCGCUCCCACA
rnacentral:misc_RNA from 1 species